CCAGGUUACCCUCGCUUGUAUGUCUAACAAGCAUCAGCAAGUCUGGGAAAGACCAGCUCUGUGCCCCACCCACCCCUCUAAGUGAUUCCCUCACACGCUUUGAACUGCCCAUCUUUGGAGCCUUUACUAAGGCAAGUCUCUUUCCUACCUGCAAAGUCCUUUCUCUCCCUCUGUCAUCUCUCUUCAAAUCCUACCUGCUCUCCAAGCCUGGAUCCCAGGGCCCCUCGUCCAGGAGCCUUCCCUGGCCUCCACCACAGGCAUGACUCUGGCAUCUCCCAGAACACUGAUUAUUUACCCUGUGGUAUUUUGUAGCCAGAUUAGGAUCUUCUCAGUUAGGUAUGGAACAGGGUUGCUCAAGCAAGGCACUACUGGCAUUCUGGGCUGAAUCGUUCCUUGUUGAGGGGGCUACCCUGUGCAUUGCAAGAUGUUUAGCAUGCAAACGUGCAC
rnacentral:lncRNA from 10 species